GUGCUUGCUUCGACACCACAUAUACUAAAAUUGGAAUGAUAUAGCAUGGCCCCUGCGCAAGGAUGACACAAAAGUUCAUGAAGUGUUCCAUAUCUUU
ensembl:snRNA U6 U6 spliceosomal RNA